rnacentral:rRNA from 1 species
UACGGAAGGCAGCAGUGGGGAAUAUUGCACAAUGGGCGCAAGCCUGAUGCAGCCAUGCCGCGUGUAUGAAGAAGGCCUUCGGGUUGUAAAGUACUUUCAGUCGUGAGGAAGGUGUUAAGGUUAAUAACCUUAGCAAUUGACGUUAGCGACAGAAGAAGCACCGGCUAACUCCGUGCCAGCAGCCGCGGUAAUACGGAGGGUGCGAGCGUUAAUCAGAAUUACUGGGCGUAAAGGGCACGCAGGCGGUUAAUUAAGUUGGAUGUGAAAUCCCCGGGCUUAACCUGGGAAUGGCAUUCAAGACUGGUUAGCUAGAGUCUUGUAGAGGGGGUUAGAAUUCCAUGUGUAGCGGUGAAAUGCGUAGAGAUGUGGAGGAAUACCGGUGGCGAAGGCGGCCCCUGGGACAAAGACUGACGCUCAUGUGCGAAAGCGUGGGGAGCAAACGAGGGAUUAGGAUACC